rnacentral:tRNA from 1 species
GGCAGAAUGGCUUAGUGGAAAGAGCAUGGACUUGAGAGUCAGAGGACCUGGGUUCUAAUCCCAACUUUGUCA